rnacentral:misc_RNA from 1 species
GGAAAUAAAAGUCGUAACAAGGUUUCCGUAGGUGAACCUGCGGAAGGAUCAUUAUUGUAUAACCGAGGUGCGAGGGCUGUCGCUGACCCGAAAGGUCGUGCACGCCCGAGUGCCCUCACACACAUCCAUCUCACCCCUAUGUGCACCACCGCGUGGGUCCCCCUUUGGCUUGUUCGGAGGGGGGCUUACGUUUUCACACAAACUAUGUAUGCAGUGUAGAAUGUAUUUUUUGUUUUUGCGAUCACGCAAUCAAUACAACUUUCAACAACGGAUCUCUUGGCUCUC